rnacentral:rRNA from 1 species
GAUGAACGCCGGCGGCAUGCUUAACACAUGCAAGUCGAACGGGAAGUGGUGUUUCCAGUGGCGAACGGGUGAGUAACGCGUAAGAACCUGCCCUUGGGAGGGGAACAACAACUGGAAACGGUUGCUAAUACCCCGUAGGCUGAGGAGCAAAAGGAGAAAUCCGCCCAAGGAGGGGCUCGCGUCUGAUUAGCUAGUUGGUGAGGUAAUAGCUUACCAAGGCGAUGAUCAGUAGCUGGUCCGAGAGGAUGAUCAGCCACACUGGGACUGAGACACGGCCCAGACUCCUACAGGAGGCCACAGAGUGGAAUUUUCCGCAAUGGGCGAAAGCCUGGCGGAGCAAUGCCGCGUGGAGGUGGAAGGCAUACGGGUCGUCGACUUCUUUUCUCGGAGAAGAAACAAUGACAGUAUCUGGGGAAUAAGCAUCGGCUAACUCUGUG